AUUGAACGCUGGCGGCAGGCUUUACACAUGCAAGUCGAGCGAGCGGCGGACGGGUGAGUAAUGUCUCGGAAACUGCCCGGUAGAGGGGGAUCACUACUGGAAAGGGUGGCUAAUACCGCAUACCAUCAGAUGUGCCCAGAUGGGAUUAGCUAGUAGGUGGGGUAAUGGCUCACCUAGGUGACGAUCCCUAGCUGGUCUGAGAGGAUGACCAGCCACACUGGAACUGAGACACGGUCCAGACUCCUACGGGAGGCAGCAGUGGGGAAUAUUGCACAAUGGGCGAAAGCCUGAUGCAGCCAUGCCGCGUGUGUGAAGAAGGCCUUCGGGUUGUAAAGCACUUUCAGCGAGGAGGCGUUACUCGCAGAAGAAGCACCGGCUAACUCCGUGCCAGCAGCCGCGGUAAUAC
rnacentral:rRNA from 1 species